UACGGAGGAUCCAAGCGUUAUCCGGAUUUACUGGGUUUAAAGGGUGUGUAGGCGGGCUUUUAAGUCAGUGGUGAAAUCUCCGGGCUCAACCUGGAAACUGCCAUUGAUACUAUUAGUCUUGAAUUUUGUUGAGGUAGGCGGAAUAAGUCAUGUAGCGGUGAAAUGCAUAGAUAUGACUUAGAACACCAAUUGCGAAGGCAGCUUGCUAAACAAAUAUUGACGCUGGGGCACGAAAGCGUGGGGAUCAAACAGG
rnacentral:rRNA from 1 species